rnacentral:rRNA from 1 species
CCUACGGGAGGCAGCAGUGGGGAAUUUUGGACAAUGGGCGAAAGCCUGAUCCAGCCAUGCCGCGUGCAGGAUGAAGGCCUUCGGGUUGUAAACUGCUUUUGUACGGAACGAAAAGUCUCUUUCUAAUAAAGAGGGAUCAUGACGGUACCGUAAGAAUAAGCACCGGCUAACUACGUGCCAGCAGCCGCGGUAAUACGUAGGGUGCAAGCGUUAAUCGGAAUUACUGGGCGUAAAGCGUGCGCAGGCGGUUAUAUAAGACAGUUGUGAAAUCCCCGGGCUCAACCUGGGAACUGCAUCUGUGACUGUAUAGCUAGAGUACGGUAGAGGGGGAUGGAAUUCCGCGUGUAGCAGUGAAAUGCGUAGAUAUGCGGAGGAACACCGAUGGCGAAGGCAAUCCCCUGGACCUGUACUGACGCUCAUGCACGAAAGCGUGGGGAGCAAACAGGAUUAGAUACCCUGGUAGUCCACGCCCUAAACGAUGUCAACUGGUUGUUGGGAAUUCACUUUCUCAGUAACGAAGCUAACGCGUGAAGUUGACCGCCUGGGGAUACGGCCGCAAGGUUGAAACUUAAAGGAAUUGACGGCUGNGAGNGCGACGACGACGACGAGGGAGGAGG